AGUCUGAUUCACACAGUGCUUAGAACCAACGCUGGAAUAGGAUGGCACAAGAAGUAGCACAAUGGAAGAGCAUCACUGGUAAACAUGGAGCUGACCCCGGACUGCACGUGUUUACACCCCCAGCCUCUGCAUAAUGCGGAGUAAACUACGGUGAGUGAGACAGCCAACAGCCUUGGGAAUUGAGAGAGCCAAGAGCCUUGGUCAAGCAAACAAGGGACAUGCCAAGGCCUGUGAAGAUAGUGUGCAGAUCACCACCACUCUCGACAGAUCCAGCCUUUAGGAAGGACCCCCUUCUACAUUUUAUCCUAAUUCAUAUCCACCCUCCCAGAGGCCUGAGGACUUUUCUACUUGCUGCCAAUGAAGAAGUCACACAGAUGGCUACCACAUCUGGAGUCUUGGAAAUCCCAUAUUUGGCUAAUAGUGUGGAGACCUCAUCCUUUAAUAUUAGAUCUUUCCUGAUCAACCACUAUGAUGCUGCCAAGCCUCUUUGAUGGUAGACUUCCAUCAGCUCUACUGCAUCUAACAUCAUGAAUUUUCUAAGUAACAUGGUUUUAUUCUUCAUUUCACAUUGAUUGAUAUAA